ACAGGUAGAUCUCAGAGUGGGAAAGGGAAAGAUGUAAAGUAAAAGCAAGUUUGUUACCUGGGGAGCUGGCAUUCCAGAAGACACAGUGCUAGGAAUCUCUGUCCUGGGAAGAGAAGAGAAAGGAGAGGAAGGCAAUAAGAGGAAGCUUAUGCAAGGACAAAGAAUGGCUGAAAAACUCUUGUCAUUGCUAUGGAGGCUGCUGCAGAUUCCUCCAAGACCACCAUUCAGGAGCUAGACACCCAUGAAGAUCACCAAUCAGAUGCCAGGGUCCCACUGAAAACUGCAGUUGGAGGCCAAGGCCCCAUUAGCAUCACCAACUGCUUGGAGAAAGGAUGAGAAAAAUAUGAAGAAAGUGGAAGACAGAAACAAAAUUAACUGUGAGAGAGAAGCAGUGAGACUAGCAUCUCCUGAAAGGGAUCCUGGAAAAGAGAUAAGACAAAUCCCUGGCCUUAGGACCUCACCCCCUCUUGAAGAGGAAGCUGGCUGUGAUGUCUGACCCCAAAAGCCUUCUUAAAGAAAGAGCCCAGACUAGUCAUUAGAACCUGGCAUUGUAUCUCUGACUCCUCAAAAAGUUACUUGCUGUCUUUGUACCUCAGCCUCUUCAUCUUAAAAAUGGGCUGUUUGUCCUCAAUUAUCUGUAACAUCCCUUCUGGCUCUACCAUACUAUGUUCCAAGGUCCCUUCAAGAUCUAACAUUCCAUGUC